UGUUGCUGGCCGCUAGCGCGCGUGUGCGUUCGUGUGACGGCUGAGACUGAAAAUAUCUUCGCGCCAGAGUCCUUACCUAAUGACCAGUUACCGAACGUACGACCCGCGAACGCGAAGCGCGACUAUUUGUACAUACUAACCUACUAACGCUAAAUCGUUUACUAAUCGUUAUCGAACUAAUUAUGUGAAAAGUCACUCAACAUUGUACAUCAAAUCAUCCUAGUGAAAAAUGAAACUUAGACGAAUGUUGUGCCCGAUUGUUGACAGACCUCGAAAAAAGUGACAGUGGUGUGCUAGCUCUUGAAUUAAUUGGUGCAACCGUAGAAAAUUGUGAAUAAUGGGAAGUCAGUGCUGCAAAUGCGCCUCGGAGAAAAACAA